GUGGGAGCAAGGCUUGCCCGCGAUGCAGGCGCCGCGUUUUCCCUCAAACCGCGUCGUCUUCAUCGCGGGCAAGCCUUGCUCCCAC
rnacentral:misc_RNA from 1 species